rnacentral:rRNA from 1 species
GGCGGACGGGUUAGUAACGCGUGGGAACAUACCCUUUGGUACGGAAUAGCCUCUGGAAACGGAGAGUAAUACCGUAUGAGCCCUUCGGGGGAAAGAUUUAUCGCCAAAGGAUUGGCCCGCGUUAGAUUAGGUAGUUGGUGGGGUAACGGCCUACCAAGCCUACGAUCUAUAGCUGGUUUUAGAGGAUGAUCAGCAACACUGGGACUGAGACACGGCCCAGACUCCUACGGGAGGCAGCAGUGGGGAAUCUUGGACAAUGGGGGCAACCCUGAUCCAGCCAUGCCGCGUGAGUGAUGAAGGCCUUAGGGUCGUAAAGCUCUUUCGCCUGUGAAGAUAAUGACGGUAGCAGGUAAAGAAACCCCGGCUAACUCCGUGCCAGCAGCCGCGGUAAUACGGAGGGGGUUAGCGUUGUUCGGAAUUACUGGGCGUAAAGCGCACGUAGGCGGACUGGAAAGUUGGGGGUGAAAUCCCAGGGCUCAACCCUGGAACUGCCUCCAAAACUAUCAGUCUAGAGUUCGAGAGAGGUGAGUGGAAUUCCGAGUGUAGAGGUGAAAUUCGUAGAUAUUCGGAGGAACACCAGUGGCGA